rnacentral:rRNA from 1 species
GUGUCAGCAGCCGCGGUAAUACGGAGGGAGCUAGCGUUGUUCGGAAUUACUGGGCGUAAAGCGCACGUAGGCGGCUUUGUAAGUUAGAGGUGAAAGCCCAGUGCUCAACGCUGGAACUGCCUUUAAGACUGCAUCGCUUGAAUCCAGGAGAGGUGAGUGGAAUUCCGAGUGUAGAGGUGAAAUUCGUAGAUAUUCGGAAGAACACCAGUGGCGAAGGCGGCUCACUGGACUGGUAUUGACGCUGAGGUGCGAAAGCGUGGGGAGCAAACAGGAUUAGAAACCCCAGUAGUCC